CAAGCGGUGGAGCAUGUGGUUUAAUUGGAUGCAACGCGAAGAACCUUACCAGGUCUUGACAUCCUAUGACAACCCUAGAGAUAGGGUUUUCCCUUCGGGGACAUAGAGACAGGUGGUGCAUGGUUGUCGUCAGCUUGUGUCGUGAGAUGUUGGGUUAAGUCCCGCAACGAGCGCAACCCUU
rnacentral:rRNA from 1 species